UACGUAGGGGGCAAGCGUUGUCCGGAUUUACUGGGCGUAAAGAGCGUGUAGGCGGCCAAACAGGUCCGUUGUGAAAACUGGAGGCUCAACUUCCAGACGUCGACGGAAACCGUGUGGCUAGAGUCCGGAAGAGGAGAGUGGAAUUCCUGGUGUAGCGGUGAAAUGCGUAGAUAUUGGGAGGAACACCAGUGGCGAAGGCGGCUCACUGGACCGGAACUGACGCUGAUGCGCGAAAGCGUGGGGAGCAAACGGG
rnacentral:rRNA from 1 species